UUGACAACGAACCCAAGGCCUGAAGAGACCAUGUUCUGGAAUCUGCAGUUUGUCCGAUUGAUACGACGGAAAGGGGUUUCCAUGAGGUUAUUGUAAUCUGCAAUCUCAACUUCUUUCGGCGAUCUGCGAGAAGUAAUAUUCCAAGCAGAAACACGAACAGUCGGAAAAUUCUGACGAAGAGCGAUUUGGGAGAGAGGAGAUGCUGAAUAGAUGGCGAAAUCUGUUGUUUAAGGCAGAGAAUCCAAUACAAUGAUCAUGCCAAAGAGGAGAUUCUUCACCAUUCCGUAAAGAAUGGAACCAUAAAUGCAAGUUCGAGAAAUACUAAUCCAUGGACUGCGGAAACUAGAAUUCGAUCUCCCAAGAGUAUGCCGAUCUAAAACAUCGGACCAGUGAGUACUAGAAAUCACCUUCUUCCUAAGAGAAUGCGACUCAUUGAAGUACCGCCAACCCCAGUUAGGAAUCAAAGCUAUCGCCGGCGACUGCAGAAGGCUAGAAACGAUGAGGAAAGGACGGGGAGAGAGGAUAGAGCAUUUCCUCGGCCAUCUCCGGCGACUGCAGGAGGCUAGAACGACGAGGAAAGGAGGCGGAGAGAGGAGAGAGCAUUUCGUCGGCAGACAUUGCAAUACUUCCGGCGCACAGUCGAUCACUGAGAACCGCAGCAUUAAAAAUCAAUAUCAAUGUUUCUACAUGAAGGUACCGAUCCCAUUAACGUGCACCCCUACCAGUAUCUGCAUACUCAAAAAGGGGAAACUGAAUGCAUGAUAGCUGACAUGCUAUAUGCGGGUAUGAUUUAAAUAAAUAAAAAGAAGAUUUGAAAAAGGUUGUCAAAAUUUCAAGCAAGAUUGCUCUUUGUUCUCAAGCUUUCAUGAAGUGUGCAGUCUAGAAGUGACAUCAAUGAAGGCUUCUUCUUUGCAGGAAAUGGUCAAUCCUCCGGUUGGAUGGUUGAAUCCAAACUCUUCUUCAGCCCUACUGAGCAAGUCUAAAAAUGAAGGAUGGAAUAUUACAUAGUCAAAAUGCAAGUGAAUAGAAAAAUUGGGGGAAAAAUGGUAACAAAUAUGACAGAUUUCCCUUUGCUCUUCAUCCUUCAAGGUACGUAUAUUGCAGUGCGUUCAUUGAAGGUGUCUUCUUUGUAAGGAAUUGUGAAGCUCCUCCUGUGGACGAUGGAAACCAAACUCUUCUUCUGCGUGGCUGAACAGUUGCUGGAAUGAUGGGUGGUUUAAGUAAGAUAUCGGAACACGCAAAAUCGGUUGAGAAGGAACCAAAACUUGGCAUAACGAUCCAACUAUAUGCAGAAUCAUAUAAUUAUUGAAACUCCUGAGUCCUUGCUUAGUACAUUAAGCAUUGAUUAACUGUGAAGCCUACCAAUUUGAACGAGCUUUUAGUUGAUGUUUUUCUA